UACGAAGGGGGCUAGCGUUGUUCGGAAUUACUGGGCGUAAAGCGUAUGCAGGCGGAUUGUUAAGUCAGGGGUGAAAUCCUGAGGCUCAACCUCAGAACUGCCUUUGAUACUGGCAAUCUUGAGUCCGGGAGAGGUUAGUGGAACUGCGAGUGUAGAGGUGAAAUUCGUAGAUAUUCGCAAGAACACCAGUGGCGAAGGCGGCUUACUGGUCCGGUUCUGACGCUGAGGCGCGAAAGCGUGGGGAGCAAACAGG
rnacentral:rRNA from 1 species